UCNNUGGGCGUAAAGGGAGCGUAGGCGGCGUGGUAAGUCAGAUGUGAAAUCCCGGGGCUCAACCCCNGNAACUGCAUCCGAUACUNCCAUGCUAGAGGAUUGGAGAGGUAGCUGGAAUUCUUGGUGUAGCAGUGAAAUGCGUAGAGAUCAAGAGGAACACUCGUGGCGAAAGCGAGCUACUGGACAAUUCCUGACGCUGAGGCUCGAAGGCUAGGGUAGCGAAAGGGAUUAGAUACCCCUGUAGUCCUAGCAGUAAACGGUGCACGCUUGGUGUGAGGGGAAUCGACCCCCCUUGUGCCGGAGCUAACGCGUUAAGCGUGCCGCCUGGGAAGUACGGUCGCAAGACUAAAACUCAAAGAAAUUGACGGGGACCCGCACAAGCGGUGGAGUAUGUGGCUUAAUUCGAUGCAACGCGAAGAACCUUACCAAGGCUUGACAUGCAUCUCUAAACACGUGAAAGCGUGUGACCCUUCGGGGAAUUUGCACAGGUGCUGCAUGGCCGUCGUCAGCUCGUGUCGUGAGAUGUUGGGUUAAGUCCCGCAACGAGCGCAACCCUUGUGAAUAGUUGCCAGCACGUCAUGGUGGGAACUCUAUUCAGACUGCCCAGAUCAACUGGGAGGAAGGUGGGGACGACGUCAGGUCAGUAUGGCCCUUACGCCUUGGGCUGCACACGUACUACAAUGCCCAGCACAAUGAGAACCGAUACCGCGAGGUGGAGGAAAUCUGUAAAACUGGGCUCAGUUCGGAUUGGAGGCUGCAACUCGCCUCCAUGAAGUUGGAAUCGCUAGUAAUGGGGCAUCAUCUACGGCCCCGUGAAUACGUUCCCGGGUCUUGUACACACCGCCCGUCACAUCAUGGAAGCCGGUCGCACCCGAAGUGCCCGUACCAACCGCAAGGGGGUAGGGUCCUAAGGUGUAGCUGGUAACUGGGAUGAAGUCGUAACAAGGUAACCAAGGGCGAA
rnacentral:rRNA from 1 species